UUUCAUACGAUUUCUUGAAUAAACAUUCGUUUAGGAUCCAACUGGUAAGAUUUUCAUCUUUUCUUUUUCGAUUUGUAAAUCUGUUUUGCAUAUCGUUUAGGAUCCAACUGGAAACGCAUAUUGAAGCCUUAUGAAAGGGUGUUUUGGAGAUCACGUUUUUUUCAGGUAUGGAAAAGUAAGAAUGUAGUGGAAAGAUCUAUAAAAUGUUUCUCAUGGUUGUAAAAUGUUUGAUUUUCAACCUUAAUUGUUCUUAUCUUACCGGUAUUGUUUUGUAAUGUGAAUUGUAAGAUGGAAAGGUGUUAGAUGCACUGCAACUGUUUGAUGAAAUGUCUGAGAGAAAUUUCAAUUUUUUGGGACAACUGUUAAUUCUUCAUACGUUGAAUAAUGGAUUUGAUAAAAAAACGAUUUAACAGGCUUUAUUCAAUUGAGAUGCAAUCUGAGAAUAAUGAACUAUUAAGAAGCAACUCAAGUUAAACUAAUGAGGAAAUUAACAAGAAUGAUAAAAGGCAUAGUAAUCAAACUAAUGAGGAAAUUCCUUUCUUACACGUGUUGGAUACUUGGAUCCAUACUUGGAUAUUUGGUCUUACAGGUUAAUAGGUACGUGUUGUGAACUAAGGUUUUGGUUCAGCAUUUUCGUUGGGGAUUUGGGGGUUUGGGUUAUUGCUUUGCGAUUGAGGUUUGAUUGGCGUGUCGUUGUCUUUUUAGCUGUAGUUUCUGCAUUCAACUCAGCGUUUGUCGUAUUGUUAUGCAGGUAUGUUUUCAUCUUUUGAUUUUUAUGUCUGCAUUUGUAUUUUUAUUUGUGUUUGUUAUGUUUUUUGAGGUUGUUUGAUUCCAGUUCGUAUUAGCCACCACCUCUAAUUCAGGCCAUUCUGAGUGUUCGGAUACAUAUUGUGUUAUAGCUGACAUAAAAAUGAGAUAAGAUAAACUGAGCGGGUCGGGUAACACGUCAUGACCCGUUAAUAUUUUAUAUUUUUUUGAAUUUUAUAUUUUCUUUUGAUUCAAUGUCAGUUUGUUGACUAUACCAUCUCCAUUUUGUUUGCAGAACUCUUAUUAUUAGCAGCUCUUACAUUUGAUCCUCUUGAAAUAUAAAAAAAACCCAUUAAUGGUUAGCAUCAACAACCAGUGUUUACAUUGUAUAUAUAUAUAGGUGGUUCUCACUAUUGUCGAUUUUGUUCGAGCGAGUUUGACUUCCCACGGGGACUAUCAGCAACAUUCUUGGAGUUUGGUAAUUUCAAGUCUCCAAUGUACUCAAGACUUCCUCAGUAUUGACACCACCGCUGCCAUUGGUGAUCGAUGACGGUAGUUGAGUAGAAGAUCAGGUGUGGUUCAAGCAACACUAUCGGAGAGAUGUGGGUAUCAUUCACAGGGAAUUCCUACUCUUUUUUUCGAUGCCAUCAAUUACCUAAUUCACAUGAAAAAUCUAUGGAUCAAGGUUGAAUCAAGCAGAGGGCAGAACACGAAAGGCGCGUACACGGUUAUUUGUUUAUCAUGGAAAUUAGGAGAAGAAGGUGAUGCAACUGGUCUGUCAAUAUGAGGUUCGUUUGCAAAGAUACAUAGCUAUGAUUGAUAUGCGGGUACUUUUCGAUAAAACAAAAAGAAAACACAUGGUUCAUUAAACUGUUAUGCUCAUUUACACCAAAUUAUAAUAUUAGGACAUGUAUAAACAUGGUUGAGCUUGAUAAUUUAUUGUGUAUCUUACCAGACUAAUGCUUUAUUAUGAAAGAUUGAUGCCUCUUUGAAGCAAUCAUAUGCCUUUUAUGCUGCAUUUGAUGGAAUUUCAGGGCUACAGGCAUCUGGAGCAUAUAUAUUUUCCAUCCAAAUGGUAAAUAUUCUAUUGGCUCUCAGAAGCAGAUUCGUGACGAUAGAGUUGAGUGGGAUCUUGAAGUGAAUCAACUUAUUGCAUGAAACUGUUAUCCUUUUGUAGUGGAAAUAAUGGCUAUUAUUACAAAUUUCCUCACAAUAGACAUUUAGACUAAAUAUUUUUGUGGUGUGAAUAAUGUUUCUUUGGUUUAUGGUAGUGGAAAUGUGGCUUCAGGAUAUAUGGGAAUGCAUAUGGUCAAUAGGUCGGUGUUUUUGACUUCUUAAUUUAUAAAAUAAUGAAGUCAUUUGGUCAAAGUCAAACCUAAUGCU
rnacentral:lncRNA from 1 species